ensembl:ncRNA F54E4.11 ncRNA
UACAUGACAACUACUGGACAAAAGACCAGAUUGGUUUUAGUGCAGACCAAAAUAAGAGCGAAACAUAGAGACGGGGACAGAGCGUGCAGUUGCGAAGAGCGCGCAAAACACGCAAACGCGUCUGCGU